rnacentral:rRNA from 1 species
UACGUAGGUGGCAAGCGUUGUCCGGAUUUACUGGGCGUAAAGAGCGCGCAGGCGGUCGUUCAAGUCGCGUGUGAAAGCCCCCGGCUCAACUGGGGAGGGUCACGCGAUACUGAUCGACUCGAAGGCAGGAGAGGGAAGUGGAAUUUCCGGUGUAGCGGUGAAAUGCGUAGAUAUCGGAAGGAACAUCAGUGGCGAAAGCGACUUCCUGGACCAAUCUGACGCUC